GAUGAAGAACGUAGCGAAAUGCGAUAAGUAGUGUGAAUUGCAGAAUUCAGUGAAUCAUCGAAUCUUUGAACGCACAUUGCGCCCUUUGGUAUUCCAAAGGGCAUGCCUGUUCGAGCGUCAUUUGUACCCUCAAGCUUUGCUUGGUGUUGGGCGUCUUGUCUCUAGCUUUGCUGGAGACUCGCCUUAAAGUAAUUGGCAGCCGGCCUACUGGUUUCGGAGCGCAGCACUAGUCGCACUCUCUAUCAGCAAAGGUCUAGCAUCCAUUAAGCCUUUUUUUCAACUUUUGACCUCGGAUCAGGUAGGGAUACCCGCUGAACUUAAGCAUAUCAAUAAGCGGAGGA
rnacentral:misc_RNA from 1 species